GACGAACGCUGGCGGCGUGCCUAAUACAUGCAAGUCGAACGCAGUGGGGACGGGUGCGUAACACGUGGGUAACCUCCCAUCAGAGGGGAUAAAACUUGGAAACAGGUGCUAAACCGAUACUGAUGGAUGUACCCGCGGUGCAUUAGCUAGUUGGUGAGGUCACGGUUCACCAAGGCCACGAUGCAGAGCCGACAUGAGAGGUGGAGCGGCCACACUUGUACUGAGACACGGCCCAGACUCCUACGGGAGGCAGCAGGAGGGAAUCGUCGGCAAUGGACGAAAGUCUGACCGAGCAACGCCGCGUGAGUGAAGAAGGUUUUCGGAUCGUAAAACUCUGUUGUUAGAGAAGCGGUAUCUAACCAGAAAGCCACGGCUAACUACGUGCCAGCCGCCGCGGUAAUAC
rnacentral:rRNA from 1 species